UCUGACCCAUAUCUGCAUUUUAUUGAACAAAUGAAUUUGGCUACUAAAGACUCCAUGAUUUCAGGCUGAGGUCCGCCUCCAAGGGCCUGAUCUGUGUCAGCUAAAACCAGAGCUGGUGGUGACCAACUACAUCGAUGAACUAGCUCCCUCCUUCCCUCACUUUCUCCAUCUUUCAGAGAUCUAAUGGCACAGUUCCAGCUGUGAGACGUGGCACCCUUAAGCUUCCUUGUUACAAGCUUGGAGAGAUACCAUCAUGGUGCCAAGCAGGAUCCUGGGAUGACAUGUUAGAUAUUCCUUCAACCAAGAAUAGAUAACAGGGCAGGAACCAAAAAUUUCCUGGUGCCUCACUCCAAGUUGCAAUAUCAGCUCUUGUCAUAAAGAUAGGCUCUUCCCGGACCCUGGUGGGCUCUGUCUCAUCAGAUGUCAUGUAGAAAAGGAAAGCCCAGCAGCUACAGGACCAAGAGCUGAGCCAUUCUCCAAGACAGAGCAAGCGAAGAAUGCUCCUGCCUGUGGAUGGGACCACACCCCUCUGCUCAUGUCAGCAAGCCCAUAGCUGCAGGACUGCUGGUAACUAUGGAAUGUUCAGAAGCCAUUUGCAACUGAGUUGGAGAGGGAGGAAAUGGAUACUCAUGCUUAUGAGCAGCUUGUGUCAUGCAGGGGGUUGUCAUGUUCCCAGUAAACACACAACAAGGAAACUAUACCCUAAAGCCAUACUCUUUCCUUGCCAAAAAGC
rnacentral:lncRNA from 1 species